ensembl:lincRNA
GGCGUCCAGGUUCACCUAAGGCAGGACAGAAUAUCAGCUUUCACUGUUGAAUAGCUUUUGUUUGCCUUUUCUUUUUUCUCUGUCCAUUGGGGAUCACUCUUGUUUGCCUGGUUUACAAAUGAAAGAGCAACUGCCUUUUGGCCUGAAGAGUCCAAGGUGAUAGAUGGGUCUGCUCUGCCUGCUCAUCGUAUUUGUCACUUCAUUGAAGUUAUUAUGAGUGUGUAUUGAGGUAUUGAUGUGAUCUUUUGACAAGUCUACAAAUGUGGGACAUUACUGAAAGAAGAAAUGUGGGGAAGAAGGCACCAUGGAAUGUCCAAGAAAGCAAACAGACUGGAUUUCUACCUAUAGUGAGAAUCCAAGGAGCCCAUGGAGUUCCUGUAGAAAGACCCCCCAGGAUGAGAAAGAAUCUCUGAUACAAAGUGGAACACAUUUGCCAUAUGGAUUAUCUCUGUCGGAGGCAUGAUAUUUAGGUCAAGAUGAUUAUAUACCCUGACUAUCAUACAUACAGUACAGCGAUUUAAUGUAUGGAGAACUGAAGACUCUAGGGAACAGGGACUUUUGCCUAUUGUCAAUAGGCAUGGUUUACAAUUGGACCUCUGAGAAUAAUAGGUUCCAUGUGUCAGUCAAUCUAUGAUCUUGAGUGCAACCAAGGAUUGGCGACUUCUCUUGUGCUUCUUUCAUGGAGAUGAAUCUAUAAACCGGUAAGUUUGUCUUAUACUCCAAAGGAUGUAAGCCACAGCCAAUCUUAAGGCCCAGGCACAUUUAGAGAAACACUCCAGUGAGCACAUUCAUUGUCCAAGUCAAGUUGCUGUUUCUCACAGAGCUCAUUUUCAACAUGUACGAAUGUCUCCAG